UACGUAGGGUGCAAGCGUUGUCCGGAAUUAUUGGGCGUAAAGAGCUCGUAGGCGGUCUGUCGCGUCGGCUGUGAAAACUCGGGGCUCAACCCCGAGCCUGCAGUCGAUACGGGCAGACUAGAGUGCGGUAGGGGAGACUGGAAUUCCUGGUGUAGCGGUGAAAUGCGCAGAUAUCAGGAGGAACACCGGUGGCGAAGGCGGGUCUCUGGGCCGUAACUGACGCUGAGGAGCGAAAGCGUGGGGAUCAAACAGG
rnacentral:rRNA from 1 species